rnacentral:lncRNA from 1 species
UUAAAUUUUUGUAAAUAGAACAUAAUAUCUGUGUAUUAUGAUCAUUGCUUGUGUAUAUACUAUACAUUAUCUCCAUAUGUAUUGGAACAACUGCUUAGAAUAAAUACUGUAUAAACUGGUCCUUCAUACCUGCAUUGGUCAUUUGUAUAGCAUUGAUAAAUUUGGUUAGCAGUUCUCAGGCAGAAUGUUGGGCUUCUUUCAGGCUGGCAUUCUUGGUUAUUUGCAUGAAGGUAGGUAUGAUAAAGAAGAAAUUGUGUUUGGAUUUUUGCCUCAUUAAGAUGUCAAAAGGGGACAUUUUUAUUUAUACAAAUUGGAAGAGUUGGUUAUAUCUAGUUUGCUUCUGGCAUGGAUCAUUUAAAUCAACAUAUUAACACAGUACUACAAUUCAUAAUUAAGAGUUUGUAAUGUAAAUAUGAAUUUAAAUAAAAUAACUGAAGUUUUUUGUUACCUGUUAUCCUUAUGGUGACUCAUGGACACAUUUUAAGAAAUUUGUGGUCAGUUUUAUGGCUAUAGAGCUAAUCUGUAUAUUUUUUCUGUUUAAUACAUUUACAGCUUCUUUAUGGAAGCAUAAGUAGCUUCAAUUAUUUAAUAUUUAGACUUCUUGCCUAGUCAGACUAUGAAGCCACUGUAAUGUUAAUAUUGGAUCCUUCCCUCUGUUCCUCAAGGCAUGCUCCCAAGACAUGAACUCUUGUUUUUGAUUAGUAAGUAACAUCUUUGUAGCCUGGUGUUUUUUAACACUUUACUUUGAACAAGGGUCUGUCUGGAAAAAUUCUCAUCUUCAUGCUUUUUUUCUUUUAACAGUACUAUAAAUAAUUGUAUAUGUGCUUUGAGGAAUUGUCAGAAAUUUAAAAGAAGGAAUCUUCUUUUGAUUACCUUUUGUUGUCCCUGGUGCUACAUCUUGCUGAUCAAUAAACACUGGUUUUAUACAGUGUUGCAUGACAAGGAAAGAGGAAGAAAAAAAACAUGUAUUCUUCUGUCAUUGCAGCAGAGGAGAGUUAUGCAGCCACAGAUGCUCUUUUCCUUAACUGCUGUUCAGAUUCGAUGCUGGUUUCCAUUGUUGGAAUGGCACUGUACACAGGCUAUGUGUUCAUGCCUCAGCACAUCAUGGCAAUACUGCACUAUUUUGAAAUUGUGCAGUGAUGAAGAACAUAUUUUCAAGAAGUAAUCAUGAUUGGAGAAUCGUCCUACAAAGAAGAAUGAACCUCUUAGUUUUAACAAGAUUUCUACAGAUGUCAAAAAGAGAAAGACAUAAUUAUGACUCUGAAGACUAAGAAACCAGAUAUGUAGAGAUGGGACGUGAGAUGUCCCCUAUGUUGUGUUUGUUCUUUUUAAUUUUACAAGAUGCCCUUGUAUAGUAGUUUUGUCUAUUUUAACAUUGUGAUUGUACUUUGAUAUCAGUAUUUUCUUAACUUUGUGAUAGUUUCAAUAUUGCACUGUGAAAGCUUUUCUUAAUUGUAAUUUUGAGUAAAUCUUAAUUGCCUUCUAUUUUUAAUCGGAAAGUCAUCUUAUUAAAUGGGGCUUAAAGCUUUUGCUAUUGUAUGGUAUGUAUUUGCCUGGAUAUUUCUAUUAAUGCAUUUUGUAAGAAAAUACAUCUAGAUUCAUAUUAGAGACAUAGAAAUAUUCAUCUAACAUUAUUUACAAAAAUUAGUUUGUAUGACUGAACUCAGGUGUACUGUUUGCUGUCCAGGCUUUGUUCAACAGUAUAUUUGUGCAUAUCAACUGAAUUUGGAAUUAGCAAUUAUUUUAAGUUUCUGUAUUCCAUCUAUUGGAGGAGGGUGGGAAAGAGAAAUAAUGAAGGCAGUCGUCACUCUGUCUCAGCUCUGUUUGGAGUAAGGCUGUGGUUGUGGUGUGUAUGCAGUGGGAACAAAAGGACGUCUCUUUACUGCCAUAGGCCCACAUAAAACUUUGGGAUAGCACUUCAGCACUGUUUUUCUAGCUACCAACUAAAUUAUACUUUUACAUAAUGCUUGAUUAUGUUCUAAUUGUGGUGGAGAGGAGGUUUCUGCUUCUUUUCACUCAACAGUGUAACUAUGUUUAGGUUUCAAAGGGUUUUUCUAUUGCCGCUAGUUUCCAAACCUGUUCUCGAUACGAAAAUACAAACGACCAAAACAUAGGGUUUUAAAGGGACUUGAGUUACAACUACAGCAAUAAGGAGCUGAGUACUUGGCUGAAGUCCUGUCUUUGUGUGGUGGGUUUUUUUUUUUUAUAGGACUUUUUUCAGAUUUGUAUUCUGAAAUGUAAGCUGGGAACAAUCUAACUUUCUUAAGUGGAGGAUUUUUUUGUUUAAAAAAAAAUAAAAGUUUAAAAGCAGAGCUUUGAUGCA